UACAGAGGGUGCAAGCGUUGUUCGGAAUUACUGGGCGUAAAGCGCGUGUAGGCUGCAAUGUAAGUCGGAUGUGAAAGCCCUUGGCUUAACCAAGGAAGUGCAUCUGAUACUGCAUCGCUUGAGUGUCGGAGGGGAUGGCGGAAUUCCCGGUGUAGAGGUGAAAUUCGUAGAUAUCGGGAGGAACACCUGUGGCGAAGGCGGCCAUCUGGACGAUUACUGACGCUGAGACGCGAAAGCGUGGGUAGCAAACAGG
rnacentral:rRNA from 1 species